rnacentral:rRNA from 1 species
CGAGCGGCAGCGCGGGGCAACCUGGCGGCGAGCGGCGGACGGGUGAGGAAUUCGUCGGAAUCUGCCUUUUUGUGGGGGAUAACGUAGGGAAACUUACGCUAAUACCGCAUACGACCUACGGGUGAAAGUGGGGGACCGCAAGGCCUCACGCAGAAAGAUGAGCCGACGACCGAUUAGCUAGUUGGUAGGGUAAAGGCCUACCAAGGCGACGAUCGGUAGCUGGUCUGAGAGGAUGAUCAGCCACACUGGGACUGAGACACGGCCCAGACUCCUACGGGAGGCAGCAGUGGGGAAUAUUGGACAAUGGGCGCAAGCCUGAUCCAGCCAUGCCGCGUGUGUGAAGAAGGCCUUCGGGUUGUAAAGCACUUUUGUCCGGAAAGAAAUCCUUCAACUUAAUACGUUGGGGGGAUGACGGUACCGGAAGAAUAAGCACCGGCUAACUUCGUGCCAGCAGCCGCGGUAAUACGAAGGGUGCAAGCGUUACUCGGAAUUACUGGGCGUAAAGCGUGCGUAGGCGGUUCGUUAAGUCUGACGUGAAAUCCCCGGGCUCAACCUGGGACGUGCGUUGGAAACUGGCGAUCUAGAGUACGGUAGAGGGUGGUGGAAUUCCCGGUGUAGCAGUGAAAUGCGUAGAGAUCGGGAGGAACACUCGUGGCGAAGGCGGCCACCUGGACCAGUACUGACGCUG